GGUCAUUUGCAUAGUGGGUUCCGCCUCCCAGCCGGCAGGCCGCGGCCCCGCCCCGUCAGGGGAGCAUGGCGGCCCCCUGCGGGCCGGCAGCCCCGUGGGGGCGCCUCCCCCCCCCGCGCUCCCCGACAGCCGGCACGGUGACAUCGCGAGCGCCCUGCGAGGCCACACAGCCCCCGCGGGAGGAACGGGCUGCUGGGGUUCCUUGGGGGCCUCGGGGCGUGCCCUGGGCCUGGCCGGGGCCUGCCAGGCCUGGACCCCCGACCCCGGGCAGGGUUUAACGGAGAAACCGGGGCAGGCCGUCUCCUCACGGCACCCGGGAGCUGGCUGCGGCCACGUUUCGGCGUCCUGGUUAGCGCCAGGCAGUGGAACUGGAAACAGAGACGGUGUUGUCUCGGCUGGGCAACUCCACCCGGUUGCGUCUCCCCUCCAGCGGGGCUGCUGGUGGGCUUGAGGCCUGCGGGCCUUUCUGGUAGGCCGCUCUGCACAGGAGGAACUCUGCGAGCUUGGCUGAGUCACGCUCCUACAGAACCUGUAUAAGCUUAAAUGGCCUGAUGUGCAGUUUGAUUCUGAGCAUUUCAAAAUGACGCGGCUGUCAGUUCCCUUCAGCAGGAAAGGAGCCGAGCUUGGUGUGAGCAUCCAUCCUGCGGGCAGCCUGAGCGUGCGACUGACCUCUCCUUAGUCUGCCUACAUGACUGCAUCAGGCUGAAAAGCAGAAGCCGGAGUAACCGCGCAGAGAUUACAUUGUGCUAGGCGCUGCACGACUGCCCUGCAUGCAGAUCAGAGUGAUGCCAAGGAGGGUCGUAGAUCCGGCAGGUUUGGACUGACUUGACUUGAAAUCAAGGACAGCACUGGUGCAUUGCAAAUAAGAGCUUUCUGCUUUAAAAAGGGAUCAGCCAGCAAGAUUUUUCUUCCACUGUAAACAGGGCUCCCAGGAACUACAGUACAUCACCAUCAGGUUAAUGUAGCCUAGGUGAUUGCUUGCAAAAAGAAACGGCUGGAAACUAUGUGUUUAAAUUAAAUCAUAAAUCGACCUGGAUAUAAAACCUGUAGGAAACCUUCCAGUUCUUGAUCCUGGUGAGUUGUGAGAUUUAUUUGGUGUACUCAGGCCUUCUUGUUGUGCUGAGGGCGCCUGUUUUGGGAAAGGGAGGUGGGUACCUUUUUCCUGACCAGCUUUGCAGUCCUGUGUCAGGAUGGGAUCCUACACCUUGCUCCAGCUUGAGUUCCUGCUCUUGUGCAUGGAUGAGAUCUGUAAAGGCGUGAAAUCCCCUUGUCAGACCAGGCUUGUGGCUGUGCUGUACCUGCAGGGUGGCUUCAGCCCUCCACUUCUGCACUGCUUCUUUCUGCAUUCGGGAUCAGAGAGUUCACAAGGGCAACAGCUUCUGCAGACCUGCCUCCCUCAUGCAGCAGUUGGACCAGUGGCCCUCAGGGGGCUCUGCAAAGGCUUCGCCAAAGUUGACCCCGAAGGUUGGACAGUGCUCUAUGCAGCAAAAGCAGGACUCCUGGGCAUCAGAGCCAGCACAGGCUCAAUGGGGUCACGGUGCCCAAGCCAAAACAAGGCUGUGCCAUCCCAGGCCUAAGAAGCUGAAGGGAAAUACAAAAGCAAGGCUCUAGGACCAACACAGGACAUGAAACCAAACCCCUAAACCCUCCAUAGCCCUCCUUCCAAGCCAUUGCCUUGCUUUAAGCCCCAUGUGAAGCCAUCUACGUUGUGUUCCUUCAGUUAAUUCUCUUCUAUAUUCAGCUUUAUUACAUGAUGCAUUUCAAGUUUGCAAGUGAAACAGAUUUGGUAAUUAAAUACAUCCAUAUCUCGAUAUUUUUGAUUAUGAUAUCAAAAGUUCAGGUCUUUGACCCUCUUUCAGAGUACAGCAGGAGGCACGCAGCAUUGCCAACUCAUCCAAUUUUAUUAGCAGCCCCACAUAUCCAAGUUCACUUGUUUUCUUUUCCUUGAUGUUAUUUCGUAAGAAUCUCUAAUAUUCUUAGAGGCAGCAGCAUGUUUCUAGUAUUUAUGUUUUAGGAAAAAUUACAUAUUAAAAAAAAGCUUCUGAAUAUGAAACAAGUGCAUUCUGCUAAUAAAGAGGUAACAAAAGACCAGUUACAAAACAGAUUUAAACCUGAAAAAUCGCAUUUUUAAAUGCCUGUCGUAAUUUUUGAGUCUUAGCUCAUUUGUAAAAGCUGUGGUUUGGAUAUUUAUAUUGCUAGUCUAUGAUUUUUCACAGCCAGAGAGACCUGCCUGAUGUGCAGGACUGCAGAUCAGCGCAAUCCUGUAAACCUGCUGUGACUACAACAAAGUGACACUUGUACAAAAUAGGAAGUCACACAUAUGACUCCCCUCUCAUUUUUCAUUAGGAUAACCUGCUCAAAACACUAGUAUCUAUUACAGGCUGUUGAAUGUAUUGAAACUAAGUGAUCUCAGGGCUUUGAAAAAUCUUUAUUUUCCACUUUAAUAAACUGCAGCAAUUACUCACAGUUUUAUAUGUAAGACGGGAGCAAAUUAAGCAGAACCAGCAGAUACUGGAAGCUUUCAAAGGUCAGUCAUAAUUACCUAGUUUCACCUGGGACAGGAGAAGCUUGCAACAGUCUUGGGAAAUUAUUAGUUAGAAAACAAUAGCUGAUAUCACUUGAACUUUAUUAUGUACUCAUGUGCCAAGUUUAAGGGAGCCAGGAGUGGCAGAAAGAUUGGUAUAAUAGAAAGAAGAACAUUUGAAUCAAUCUAAAGAGCAUGUAACUGCAUUUUUUCAUGGAGCCAGCUAAUCUAUGCAAACCCAUAUACAUCUGCUGUGAUGGUUUGUGCCUGCUGCAUGACCGUUGCCUAACGCUGAAUGCAGUUGGGCGUAUAUAUUCCACUAUGCCACAUUGCCUCCCUGUUCCCAGCAAACAAAAGGAACUUUCCUGCAUCAGGAAGCAGCCUAUAAGCAGCACCUUGCUUCAGCCUUCCUCCUAGUUUUACUGUGUAAAGCAGUGCCUUCUAUUUGGAGAUUACCCCAUCGCCACGCAGCAGAGUGUGGGUGUUUCAGGAGCCCCAGAACACAUGAGAAAAGCCACCCUUGCAUAACAUGGCACGUGUAGGAGGCAAUAGGAUGGCUCUUUUUGAGCAUUAACAUGUUGCAAAUAUAACUGAGAUAAGGAGACAUUUCAUGUAACCUGUGCCCCUGGCACAAACUUCUCAUGAAUUUAGGCUAGCUGGUUUCACUUCUUUUUUUCUCCCAUAGCUGAUUUCAGUUGCUGUUUAUCACAUAGUAGCAUAAUUCUGUGAUGCAGAUUCCUGACAUUGCAAGGAAAGGGUCCAAAUACUUCUAUUCAUAUCAAAACUGCUAUUAAAAAAAGACUCAGAGUUAAA